ensembl:lncRNA
GGAUUUACUUCAUGACAUUCCGCGGACGUCGGUGGGUCACGCAACACGCUAAGGACACGCCAGCGUCACGUGACAUUCCUUGGACACGCUUCAAUCACGUCAACAUGCUAAGAACACGCUUAGCUCCCGCGACACGCUAAGGACAUGGAUUCGUUCCUCGGACAUGCUAAGGUCGUAAGAACACGCUUAGGUCACGUGACGCGCUGGGGAGAUCACGUGACGUUCCUGGGAGCCAUCUUGGAUCGACCCCACCAUCAUGGCGGCCAUCUUGAGUCGAGUCACGUGACAAGGCAGCCAUCUUGGAUCGACCCCAGCAUCAAUCAUGGCGGCUGGCUUGGGUGGACUCACGUGACACGGCGGCCAUCUUGGAUCGACCCCAGUGUCAAUCAUGGCGGCCAUCUUGGGUCGAGUCACGUGACACGGUGGGCCAAUCAUGGCGGCCAUCUUGUGUCGAGUCACGUGACAAGGCGGCCAGAUCGACCCAGCAUCAGUCAUGGCGGCUGGCUUGGGUGGAGUCACGUUACACUGCGGCCAUCUUGGAUCGACCCAAGAAUCAAUAAUGGCGGCCAUCUUGGGUCGAGUCACGUGACACUGUGGCCCAAUCAUGGCGGCCAUCUUGUGUCGAGUCACGUGACAAGGCGGCCAUCUUGAAUUGACCCCACCAUCAUGGCGGCCGGCUUGGGUCGAGUCACGUGACACAGCGGCCAUCUUGGAUCGACACAAACCGUCAUGGCGGCUGCCUGGGGUUGAGUCGCGUGAUAUGGCGGUCAUCUUGGAGGAGCCCACGUGACUCGUCGGCCAUAUUGGAUCCACCGCAGCGGCCAUCUUGGAUCCACAGGCGCCAUCUUGGAUCGACCCACACUAUCAUGGCGCUGCCCUGGGUGGAGUCACGUGACACGGCGGCCAUCUUGGAUCGACCCACAUUGUCACGUUGGUCAUCUUCCUUCGAGUCACGUGACCCAGCAGCCAUCUUGGAUCCACCGCAGCGGCCAUCUUGGAUCUAUGGCCGCCAUCUUGGAUCGACCCACAUCGUCACGGCGGCCAUCUUGGGUCAAAGUCACAUGACAGACACGGCAGCCAUUUUGGAUCAGUCCCCAUCGUCACGGCGGCCAUUUUGGAUCGCAUCACGUGACACGGUGACCACCUUGGAUUGAGUCACGUGACGUGGCAACCAUUUUGGAUCCACCGCAGCGGCCAUUUUGGAUCCAUCCCACCACCACGACGGCCAUCUUGACUGGACCCACGUGACCAAGCGGCCAUCUUGGAUCAACGCACGUGACUGAGCAGCCAUCUUGGAUCCACUCUACCACCACAGCCAUCUUGGCUCCACCCACGUGACUCGGCAGCCAUCUUGGAUCCGUCCCACCACCACGGCGGCCAUCUUGGCUCGACCCACGUGACUCGGCGGCCAUCUUGGAUCGACAGACGUGACUCAGCAGCCAUCUUGGCAGCGGCCAUCUUGGCUCGCCCCACGUGACUCGGCAGCCAUCUUGGCUCGACCCACCUGACUCGGUGGCCAUCUUGGAUCAACCCACGUGUCUCGGCAGCCAUCUUGGAUCCAUCCCACCACGACAGCAGCCAUCUUGACCGGACCCACGUGACUCGGCGGCCAUCUUGCCCCUCCCCCAUCUUCCCCGCAUGCUCCCCCCCC